rnacentral:lncRNA from 1 species
UCGGUCACUAGCUAGAGAGCGGUCCUCUCUCGCCCCGACCCAAAGCUACCCAUGUUCCCUCCCCACCCUAAAUUCUAAUCUUCAGCAGCCAUCUCUCUCUCACGCGCGCGUGCGCCUCUUUUCCAAGAAGUCGCGACAUCUACCAUUGAAGAUGUGGUUGAGGGUCUACUCAUAGAAGAUGCGUUUGACCACCCAAUCGGGGUUGAGUACUUGGGGCGGCACAACUCGAGUUCGUAGACGGCGAGUAUGACGUGGCAGAGGUGGGGGACGAAGUCGAAUUCAUCGGCAGUGGCGGUGGCCCAGCUCUCGCUGUCGUAGGAGCCGAUGUAGGUGCAGAGCUUUUCCACCCACCAUAGGCACCCCAAAACGACGACACAUUCCACGCCACAAGCUACAGACAUUUCAUCAAACAGUUUGAGGUAGAAGAGUCGAAGCUUCCCAUUUGUAGAGUUGUAAAGUAAAAGCUAUCGAUUCUUUGUGUGUUGCGUGUUGUGAAUAAUGAAAUUCACUUUUCGUUGAUGAUACAUACAAAUCCCUCAACCAGAUCAUCAACUCUCGCCACCAUGAAUUCCUCCAACUCAUCGUCUCUGGCCUCAUCUACAACCUAUUCUCCGAUCUCAAUAGACAGGACUACUUCCAAAAAAUCCACGACAAACACUCGCGUGUGUUGGAAUGACUCAGGUCGAGUUCCUCUUUAUCAAGGCAGAGCCGAUGCCGAGGAGGUUUCGAAUUUUCAAGUGCGGAUUUACGACAAGGAGGGUGACAGAGCAACUGGAUGUGGCGGCGAAGGGGGCGUGGAUGUUGAAGAGGGAUUUCAAUAUUGAUUUUUGAUGUCCAAUUUGACUUAUUAAUCCUCAAACAUUACUUUAGUUUUAUUCACGAGAUGUUGUGCUUUUAUUUCUUUGGUCAAGUACUUAUUUUUGUAAGAAAAAAAUAAUUAUUGAUAUGAUGAAAGGUAAUGUUUCAAAAAUUUUACCUUUUUUUCACGUCAAUUGUUAUUUUUACUUACGAGAGCUUGUACUUUUAAUUAUUUGGUCAAGUAAUUAUUGUCGUAAGAAAAAAUAACUAUUGAUAUGCAAAAAGGAAAUAUUUCAAAU